rnacentral:tRNA from 1 species
GGGGAAUUAGCUCAAAUGGUAGAGCGCUCGCUUUGCAUGCGAGAGGCAGUGGGAUCGAUGCCCACAUUCUCCA